rnacentral:rRNA from 1 species
CAAUAGCGUAUAUUUAAGUUGUUGCAGUUAAAAAGCUCGUAGUUGGAUUUCGGGUGGGACGCAGCGGUCUCGCAUUGCGUUUGUACUGCUGCAGACCUCCUUCUUGCCGGGGGCGGCCUCUCGGACUUCACUGUCUGGGGGUCAGAAUCGGCGAUGUUACUUUGAGUAAAUUAGAGUGUUCAAAGCAAGCUUACGCUCUGAAUAUAAUAGCAUGGGAUAACACGACAGGACUCUGGCCUAUCGUGUUGGUCUAUAGGACCAGAGUAAUGAUUAAGAGGGACAGUCGGGGGCAUUCGUAUUCCGUUGUCAGAGGUGAAAUUCUUGGAUUUACGGAAGACGAACAUCUGCGAAAGCAUUUGCCAAGGAUGUUUUCAUUGA